GAUGAAGAACGCAGCGAAAUGCGAUAGGUAGUGUGAAUUGCAGAAUUCAGUGAAUCAUCGAAUCUUUGAACGCACAUUGCGCCUUCUAGUAUUCUGGGAGGCAUGCCUGUUUGAGCGUCAUUAAACCUCUCUCAAGUAUGAUUACUUGGAUGUGAAGGAAGAGUACCUUAAACUUAAGGAGUGUUCUCCUUUGAAAUUGAUUAGCAGAUGGUAAUGUUAUUAAAUCCCUGAUGUUGUAAGAAAUAACAGUGGUUUUGUAGACUAUUAUCUAGCUUUAAAUUAUAAUUUUUAUUAUGGUUGACCUCAAAUCAGGUAAGGAUACCCGCUGAACUUAAGCAUAUCAAUAAGCGGAGGA
rnacentral:misc_RNA from 1 species